rnacentral:rRNA from 1 species
GUGAGGAAUCUUCCACAAUGGGGGCAACCCUGAUGGAGCAACGCCGCGUGCAGGAUGAAGGCCUUCGGGUUGUAAACUGCUUUUAUAAGUGAAGAAUAUGACGGUAACUUAUGAAUAAGGAUCGGCUAACUACGUGCCAGCAGCCGCGGUCAUACGUAGGAUCCGAGCGUUAUCCGGAGUGACUGGGCGUAAAGAGUUGCGUAGGCGGUUAGUAAAGUGAAUAGUGAAAUCUGGUGGCUCAACCAUUCAGGCUAUUAUUCAAACUCACUAACUCGAGAGUGGUAGAGGUAACUGGAAUUUCUUGUGUAGGAGUGAAAUCCGUAGAUAUAAGAAGGAACACCAAUGGCGUAGGCAGGUUACUGGACCAUUUCUGACGCUAAGGCACGAAAGCGUGGGGAGCGAACCGGAUUAGAUACCCUAGUAGUCC